CUGCCAGUAGUCAUAUGCUUGUCUAAUCCCGCGCCAUGGCGCCGGAACAUGC
rnacentral:rRNA from 1 species